rnacentral:lncRNA from 1 species
AGCCUGGCUUUCCUGAAAGUAAGCAGAUCUUCAACAAGGCUUCCCUGCAGACAGUCUCUGAGCCAGGAAGGAGGGACUGGGAGGAAUAAGAGGAUUGGAUGGAGAAGUCAACACACAGCUGUGUUUUAAAAUUGAUUACCUCUAUGAGUGCUGUGGCUUGAUACUGCUAGACCCUUUGAGGAUCCACAUAGAAUACAUCUCCAUUGUCCAUCAGAACAACAGAGAAGGGAAUAAGUAUUCUUCCAGGGCAUUCUGAUCCCAUUGGCCGUGAGUUUGCUCAGACUACUAACACUCGUGAAAAGGUGAAGGUAAAGAUUGAGAGACACACCAGAAGAAGGCGUCAGAUCUCGUUAUGGAUGGUUGUGAACCGCCAUGUGGUUGCUGAGAUUUGAACUACUUUUGGUAGCUACUUUUGUGUUUCCUUUCCUCUCCUGUCUCUUCAGACUUCUCUUGAUGUCCCAACUGACAGCUGCUAAGAAGGUUUGAUCCUCAUCUUGUAUUCUUAUGGAAGUGUAUCACUGUUUAAGGUAACAAUGGCAUAUUUCCAAGGGCACACGGACAGCCUGGAGAAGCACUAUAAGCAAUUCCCUAUGAAUUGUGUUUCCUUUUU